GAUGAACGCUGGCGGCGUGCCUAAUACAUGCAAGUCGAGCGAACAGACGAGGAGCUUGCUCCUCUGACGUUAGCGGCGGACGGGUGAGUAACACGUGGAUAACCUACCUAUAAGACUGGGAUAACUUCGGGAAACCGGAGCUAAUACCGGAUAAUAUAUUGAACCGCAUGGUUCAAUAGUGAAAGACGGUUUUGCUGUCACUUAUAGAUGGAUCCGCGCCGCAUUAGCUAGUUGGUAAGGUAACGGCUUACCAAGGCAACGAUGCGUAGCCGACCUGCGAGGGUGAGCGGCCCCACUGGAACUGAGCCACGGUCCAGACUCCUACGGGAUGCAGCAGUAGGGAAUCGUCCGCAAUGGGCGAAAGCCUGACGGAGCAACGCCGCGUGAGUGAUGAAGGUCUUCGGAUCGUAAAACUCUGUUAUUAGGGAAGAACAAAUGUGUAAGUAACUAUGCACGUCUUGACGGUACCUAAUCAGAAAGCCACGGCUAACUACGUG
rnacentral:rRNA from 1 species